ensembl:lncRNA
AUGCAUAAUACCAUGUUAAAAUGGAGUACUGCUAGUGAGACCUUCAGGAACUUCCCUGUGAGGACUUGGUUUGUAAUGAGUGACAGGAUGAUGUCAGAGACAGAACAUUACCAAGGAGCUUUUAAGAAGCAUUAAGAACUGAAUUUGUUACCAAAGCUUCCAGGUUUUUAGAGCCACGCCAGUGCCUAAGGAUUAGUGUACUGAUGCCAUUCUUGGGUUGUCUACAAGAAAAAAAUACCAAUUUACAGCAUUUUCUUUGAUGUCUGGUAAGGGAAAAGAAUUUGUAUAUAUAAAGUAACAACCAUAGAAAGCAUUUAAUGGUCAUUGAUUUCUUCUUGGACCAAAAGACUGUUCCUCCAUGCCUGACUCUGGUAUUUCUUGGCAAAGAAAAGCAAAAUGUAGUGAUUUACAGACCACAGUUAAGUAGUACAUCCAAGGCAUAUUGGAAACCUAUCUUUUGAAGAGCAAAUCACAUUUUGUAAUCUGUGAGUUUUUUUUUUUUUUUUUUUAACUGAGUAUUUUGGUAGAUCUUUGACAUCUUGAUUAAAUUUGGUUGGGAGAUUAAAGCACAAGUGGCAUUACUGUAAGGAAAAAAACUGUAUUAGUUGAAAGACUUAAUGAUAGUUUUUAAGCAUUUCAAAUUUUGUAUGCUUUUCUGUAUUUCAGCUUAAGCAGAUGUCCAACAUCAAGAAAUCAUGCAACGUUCUACAUGGAUGAAAAGUCUUUCAUCGUCCUGUCUAUAGGGAAAAUACAUUGUGCUGAGAAUCUGAAGUUCUCAUCUCAUCUUCACAGGACUGAUUUGAAGCCACCACCCAGCUGACCUCAGCUGCCCGUUGGACAGCACUGCGGCACUGCCAUUUUUGUCACUGCUGACUGGAUUAGGCCCACGUUCCUAAAGGUCUGCUCUGCACAACUCCCGAGUAGCAAAACAUUGAGGUACCCAUUCUUCAUUUUGUAAAAUUUGAGCUUCAAGUGUACUAGGAAGAAGGCAGGUUAGCUUUAAGGAUUGCACUGAAUUGACAAUACAUACCAAAGGUGCGUCUUGCCAGUGUUCAUGGCAUCCAGAAUUACACAUUUUGCAGCUUUCAUUUGCCUACAGACUAUCUAAGGUAGCGUUUUCAGCACAAUUAUCUGUGUUAUUUUUAAUAAUUUCCUUUUAACCUCUUCCGUAGUUCAACAACAAUCUCUUACAUCCCUUGUUUUUCUGGACAGGCCUCCUGGGCUAGGCAGUGCCAACGAGGCAUUUCAUUGCCAAGAGAGGUAGCACCGUACCGAUUUCUUGGAAUAUUUGUCUUAUUCAAAUGUUUGCCAAUUCCUUUAGGUCACCCUGCAGCACUGCCAAGAGCCCAGCAGGCCAGCCCUUCUCUCUUGAGACCUGCCCAAGUGCCAGCAGACAUGCAGGCCAAGGUGCUGUCCCUUGCUGUGGCCAGAGACAGCUUUGUAGCCAAGGCCAGGGAGCCAGCAUCCCCUUUCCCUCAGCAUCCCAGGGAUGGGGAAGGCCUGCAGAGAUUGAGCUUUAUGUGGAACACGCUUGUAUUCCUCCACCAAAUGUCAGCGUGCAGAGCAGGGGAAGGGGGAAGGACAGCUUUGAGGCCAGGGCUGUGGAGAGGAGCAGACUCUCAAAGAGCCACGGUGAAUCAUAGAAUCACCAGGGUAGGGAAAGACCUCCAAGAUCACCUAGUCACCUACAAGACCACCUCCCUACUAAAACACGUCCCUCAGCACCACAUAUAAACGUUUUCUGAACACCUCUAUCAGCUGUUAAACCCUCCAGGUCUGCCCCACUGCACGGGGAGGGGGCGGGCAUUCCAUCCCGGCAUGGGAAAAAAAAGGGAAAAUGGAAAAAAAAAAAAAUGGGGUACGUUAGUGAAAAAAUGGAGCAGCUACUUCCCUCAUUCCCCCUCUACUGCUCUAGCGUGGCGGGGGCGGAGUGGGGAACAGGCGGGGAGGUGGGAAGCGAGGCGCUAAUCCCGGACGAGCGACCCGGAGCAGGGCUGGGACG